UGGCCUUCCUGCUGCUUUUUGCCUGUCUUUCCAAUCAGGCCCUAAGUUUACUGAUAAGUAUUCAGCAUCAACAUGCAUUUGCACCUGUUGGUGAAAAUGUCUAUGCUUCCUCUAAAAGAGAACACGGUUGUCAGAAGCCCAGGUGUAAAGACUCAAGUAGAACAAAUGGUUGGAUUCAGAUUCUAGAAGUCAGAUUUGGGAGGAUGGGACCAUCAGGGGCCAAUUCAAGAACUCACAACCUACAGAGUUACUGGGAAGGAACCAGCUGGGAUCCAUAAAGCCCGGAGUGGCAGGAAGGUUCUAAGAAGAUGGUGCACUUUGUGGAGGGAGGAGAUUAGAUCUGAUGGGAUUCACUGAAAAGACCAAUGGCAUGUCGCUACCCCAUUAGCCUCUCUCAGCAUUUCCUUAUAAUAAGGAGAGAUGAAAGACACCUGAAACAUCACGAAAGAUGAGACAGCGGCAAGACCCAGGAAAAUGAGAGCUCAGCACCGAGGUUCUGGGCUUGUUUGUUGCUGCAGCAUAACGCAGCCUGUCCUGACAGCUACACACACGCCCGUCAGAUAGGAGAACAGCCACCACCUCCCCGUCACACAGUCGAGGGUAUGUGGGCACAGAGACACGGGGCAGCACGGCCGCCUCCCAGCGCUCAGCAAUCAACCCGCCACAGCAUUCACCGAGCAUCCACAACGUCAGAUGUGUUCAAGGCACCGAGGAUACAGUAAUGAAGAAGGGCUGAAAGUCCCUGCCCUCACGGAGCUUAUAGUCUAGAGGGAAAGAGACAGACAAUUAACAAAUAAGCAACCAAAGCAUAUAACGUUUUCCUAGCAUUUAUGAAAAAAAGCAACACCAGAAGCUAGAGGCCUGGGGCAUGUGUCUUAUUUUAAAUGGGGUGGCUAGGGCAGCUCCUUUCUGAGGAGAUGACAUUUAAGCAGAGACUAGAAGGGAGUGAAAGGGUGAGCCAUAUGGGUAUCUGGGGCGAGGGUGGUCCAGGCAGCAGGGACAGCAAGUGCAAAGGCCGUGAGGUGGGAGUCUAGUUAGCACCGGGUGUGCAUCCUGAAUCCUGAGUCCACGAGGGUCUCACUCUUUCUCACCCUCUCCAGCAGCUCGGGAGAAGGACAAUGCUGAACUAGGUUCAAAGGAAGUGAAUCAAGCAGGCUGCCCUGGGGCCUCCUCUGAUUGAGCGCCCCCCACCCCACAGCCCUGGACCCUCCACCAGCCCCACCUGCCAGCCCUAGUUAAUAGGAAGGCACAUAAACUGCUUUGUGCCAGGAAUCAAGACCAUUGCCUUCUUUGCCUGCCAAGUCCCCUGAUUUUUUUUACUUAAAGCCAAAUGCCAUAAUACCUAACCGCCUCUUAUGGGGCUCCCCAGCUUGGAUCUGGCGGGCCAGAAACCAGACUGGGGCAAGGCUUGCUCCUGCAGAGGGCUUGGAGCUUGUAACUAAAGGCUCAGUAGAGAGUCACAGGGUGGGAAGCCCCCAAGGGCUCCACUCUGAAGCCAGCUGCCCAAGGGCGAUGUUUCCAAGGAGGCCACUGGCGCCAGGGUUGAACCCCAAGGCUGUGGAGCCAGGUGGCCUGGGCUUGAAUCCUGGCUCUGUCCCCCACUAGCUACCCGCCAGCAGGUUGAUUACCCUGUGGGCACCUCUCACUAAAAAAUGGGGGUAAUAACAGGGUGAGUGUGAGGUCUAAAUGAGAUCAUAUCUGUAAGGUUCUUAGCCCAUAACAAGUGCUAUAAAAUUGUUUUCUAAGUAAAAGGGAAGUGCUUAGUGAAGUGUAUUUUAAAAUCACUCUCUUCCAUGUAAUUGUAUUUAAAAUGUUCAGUAGGAAAAGGGUUUGCCCCCUUUAAGAAUAAUCUGGAAUAAACUGCUUCUGUCAGCUCAAAGUCAGUGAUUAAGAAACAAAGCAAGAGUUGCCAAUGGUUUAAUUAGUUCCUUUUAGCACUUAAGGCCAAACCCAGAGACCUGCACAGGUGGGAGUGGAAACCAGCCUGGGAGCGGCCAGCACAGUGGUGCUCCCUGGUUUGGGAGCACCAGGCCCCCUCCCAGACUCGGCAGACAAGCUGAGUUGAAUGGGCAGAGCCCAGGGCUCAGCCUGUAGCCAUCUGACCCUCAACAGCCAAGGAAGUUCAAGGUUAGAGGGACCACGAGUAAGGUAUAGUUUGGGCCAAGGCAGAAAAGGAGAGACCACCUCAACGCAGUGCACACCUGGAACCCCCAAGAACGUUACUGAAGGUUUGGGAGACAACUGAAAGAGCCCUGAGAGGUUAUGAUAUGUCCCCACCAGCAGCAGUUACUGUUCCACAACUUCCCUCCUGCUCAAAUCUCCAGGUCUCCCAUCACCCUCACCCACAACCUCAGAAAGAAUGUCAUUUCCUCCCUUCAAGCCAAGACUCAAGCCAUUCCUGCAGCAAGAAUAUGCAUCCCAUCCCUUGGAGUCUGCAUCACGCUUGUCUACUCUGGAAUCCAGAGCUGGGCCUACAGGAGGUGCUCAGUAUUGACUAGUUGAAUGAAUGGAUGAGGCCCUGCUUCUGGGUCUGGCAAGGCACUCAUACUAAGUGUACGCAUUUUUCCUGGCUUCUGGGUUAUUCAGCUUCAAAGUGACAGCAUGUUGGGACAGCCACAGCUUUGGUCUAAAUGUGCAUUUAGGAGAAGCAUUUCUCUAAUGCUUCAAGGGCACAGCCAGGCUAGAGGAGCUCCUGAUCUCCAUAACUAAAUAGCACACUUAAAUUAACCUUGCAAACUGCAGCAUCUGUGCUCCAAUUUGUAGUGACUUUACAGUUUCCUCCAAGAACAAAUAGGGUGGAUUUUUGCUUGUUUGUAACUACAAGGCCCAGCCUGGGAUGGAGGAAAAGCCAAGGCAGCCUGUUCCAAAGCCUUAGUUCUCCACCUUCAGAAACCCAAACUGCUGCCACCCCCAACUGGCCUCACCCUGGAAAGAGCAAGGCAAGGUCUUUGUGACCCAAGCGGCCCCUGGAAUUCCAAGGUCAUUCACUCCAUUCAUUUGUUUCAAUAAAUAUUUACAGGA